CCAUUUGAGCAAUGGGGGGACGCAGGAGGAUAGGGUAAGCGCGGUAUUGGAUAUCCGCGUCCAAGCAGUUAGGCUGGGAAAUAGGCAAAUCCGUUUCCCAUAAGGCUGAGCUGUGAUGGCGAGCGAAAUAUAGUAGCGAAGUUCCUGAUUCCACACUGCCAAGAAAAGCCUCUAGCGAGGUGAGAGGUGCCCGUACCGCAAACCGACACAGGUAGGCGAGGAGAGAAUCCUAAGGUGAUCGAGAGAACUCUCGUUAAGGAACUCGGCAAAAUGACCCCGUAACUUCGGGAGAAGGGGUGCUCUGUUAGGGUGCAAGCCCGAGAGAGCCGCAGUGAAUAGGCCCAGGCGACUGUUUAGCAAAAACACAGGUCUCAGCGAAGCCGUAAGGCGAAGUAUAGGGGCUGACGCCUGCCCGGUGCUGGAAGGUUAAGAGGAGCGCCUAGCGUAAGCGAAGGUGCGAAUUGAAGCCCCAGUAAACGGCGGCCGUAACUAUAACGGUCCUAAGGUAGCGAAAUUCCUUGUCGGGUAAGUUCCGACCCGCACGAAAGGCGCAACGAUCUGGGCACUGUCUCAACGAGAGACUCGGUGAAAUUAUAGUACCUGUGAAGAUGCAGGUUACCCGCGACAGGACGGAAAGACCCCGUGGAGCUUUACUGCAGCCUGAUAUUGAAUGUUGGUACAGCUUGUACAGGAUAGGUAGGAGCCUUGGAAACCGGAGCGCCAGCUUCGGUGGAGGCAUCGGUGGGAUACUACCCUGGCUGUAUUGACCUUCUAACCCGCCGCCCUUAUCGGGCGGGGAGACAGUGUCAGGUGGGCAGUUUGACUGGGGCGGUCGCCUCCUAAAAGGUAACGGAGGCGCCCAAAGGUUCCCUCAGAAUGGUUGGAAAUCAUUCGCAGAGUGUAAAGGCACAAGGGAGCUUGACUGCGAGACCUACAAGUCGAGCAGGGACGAAAGUCGGGCUUAGUGAUCCGGUGGUUCCGCAUGGAAGGGCCAUCGCUCAACGGAUAAAAGCUACCCCGGGGAUAACAGGCUUAUCUCCCCCAAGAGUCCACAUCGACGGGGAGGUUUGGCACCUCGAUGUCGGCUCAUCGCAUCCUGGGGCUGUAGUCGGUCCCAAGGGUUGGGCUGUUCGCCCAUUAAAGCGGUACGCGAGCUGGGUUCAGAACGUCGUGAAACAGUUCGGUCCCUAUCCGUCGCGGGCGCAGGAAAUUUGAGAGGAGCUGCCCUUAGUACGAGAGGACCGGGAUGGACGCACCGCUGGUGUACCAGUUGUUCUGCCAAGGGCAUCGCUGGGUAGCUAUGUGCGGACGGGAUAAGUGCUGAAAGCAUCUAAGCAUGAAGCCCCCCUCAAGAUGAGAUUUCCCAUUCCGCAAGGAAGUAAGAUCCCUGAAAGAUGAUCAGGUUGAUAGGUCUGAGGUGGAAGUGUGGCGACACAUGGAGCUGACAGAUACUAAUCGAUCGAGGACUUAACC
rnacentral:rRNA from 1 species